GGAGAAUUAGCCUAACUGGUAAGGCAGCGAUUUGCUAGGUCGCCGCGCUCCAAGCGCUUGAAGGUUCGAGUCCUCCAUUCUCCG
rnacentral:tRNA from 1 species